GACGAACGCUGGCGGCGUGCCUAAUACAUGCCAGUAGAACGCUGAAGGAGGAGCUUGCUCUUCUGGAUGAGUUGCGAACGGGUGAGUAACGCGUAGGUAACCUGCCUGGUAGCGGGGGAUAACUAUUGGAAACGAUAGCUAAUACCGCAUAAGAGUAGAUGUUGCAUGACAUUUACUUAAAAGGUGCAAUUGCAUCACUACCAGAUGGACCUGCGUUGUAUUAGCUAGUUGGUGGGGUAACGGCUUACCAAGGCGACGAUACAUAGCCGACCUGAGAGGGUGAUCGGCCACACUGGGACUGAGACACGGCCCAGACUCCUACGGGAGGCAGCAGUAGGGAAUCUUCGGCAAUGGACGGAAGUCUGACCGAGCAACGCCGCGUGAGUGAAGAAGGUUUUCGGAUCGUAAAGCUCUGUUGUAAGAGAAGAACGAGUGUGAGAGUGGAAAGUUCACACUGUGACGGUAUCUUAACAGAAAGGGACGGCUAACUACGUG
rnacentral:rRNA from 1 species